AGCUGUGCCAAAUUUGAUGCUCUGAAAGGGAAGACCUGUGCCCACGCCUGCAAAAUUAGUGUCCUAGAAAGGAAGUGGCUCGAUGGCAAAUCAUCGGAACGCUACCUGAAUGAGCCCAUGUGUGUUCUUAAAGCUGAAGUGAGUCUGACUUCACCAAAAGCUCCACUUUUAGAGAGCCUCUGAUUGCAGUAUUAGCUUUUAUGACGUGGAAAGAGUUGGACAAUGAGAGAAAAAUCAGUCUCAGAUGCUGCUAUAGACACACCCACCUGCUGUGAAAGAUCACACUCAAAGAGACCUGAGACAAAAAUGCUAGAAUCACAGAAGUGGAAGAGACCUUAGAGACAAACGAGACCCUUGUUCCACAAAAGAUGAAAGUGGAACUUAGCGGGAAACCGUUUGGCCC
rnacentral:lncRNA from 1 species